rnacentral:rRNA from 1 species
AAUGAACGCUGGCGGCGUGCCUAACACAUGCAAGUCGAACGAACCUGAUGCCUCGACUAGCAAUAGGAGAGGCGCAGGUUAGUGGCGAACGGGUGAGUAACACGUGGGUGACCUGCCCUGAAGUGGGGGAUAACUACCCGAAAGGGUAGCUAAUACCGCAUGUGAUCUGCCAUUCGGUUGGCAGAUUAAAGGCCUGUAUAGGUCGCUUCAGGAGGGGCCCGCGGCCGAUCAGGUAGUUGGUAGGGUAACGGCCUACCAAGCCGAUGACCGGUAGGGGGCGUGAGAGCGCGGCCCCCCACACUGGCACUGAAACACGGGCCAGACUCCUACGGGAGGCAGCAGUGAGGAAUAUUGCGCAAUGGGCGAAAGCCUGACGCAGCAACGCCGCGUGGGCGAUGAAGGCCUUCGGGUUGUAAAGCCCUUUUCUGGGGGACGAGGAAGGACGGUACCCCAGGAAUAAGUCUCGGCUAACUACGUGCCAGCAGCCGCGGUAAAACGUAGGAGGCGAGCGUUAUUCGGAUUUACUGGGCGUAAAGCGCGUGCAGGCGGCUCUGUAAGUCAGGCGUGAAAUCUCCCGGCUUAACCGGGAGGCUGCGUCUGAUACUGCAGGGCUAGAGGUCGGGAGAGGGAAGUGGAAUUCCCGGUGUAGCGGUGGAAUGCGUAGAUAUCGGGAGGAACACCAGUGGCGAAGGCGGCUUCCUGGCCCGCACCUGACGCUCAGACGCGAAAGCGUGGGGAGCGAACG